GAUGAACGCUGGCGGCGUGCUUAACACAUGCAAGUCGAACGGAAAGGCCCCUGCUUUCUGGGGUACUCGAGUGGCGAACGGGUGAGUAACACGUGGGUGAUCUGCCCUGCACUUCGGGAUAAGUCUGGGAAACUGGGUCUAAUACCGGAUAGGACCACAUUCUGGAUGGUGUGGUGGAAAGUUUUUCGGUGUGGGAUGAGGUCGCGGCGUAUCAGCGUGUUGGUGGGGUAAUGGUGUACCAAGGCGUCGACGGGUAGUCGGCGUGAGAGGGUGUACGGCCACAUUGGGGGACUGAGAUGGGCCAGAGUCCCACAGGGGGCAGAAGUGGGGGGAAUAGCACAAUAGGGGCGGACGCGAUGCACAGAAGCGGCGUGGGCGGGAACGGGGUUCGGGGUGUGUAAACCUCUCGCUACGGAGAAAGCGUUUUUGUGACGGUAACUGGAGAAGAAGCACCGGCUAACUACGUG
rnacentral:rRNA from 1 species